rnacentral:rRNA from 1 species
UACAGAGGGCUCAAGCGUUGUUCGGAUUCAUUGGGCGUAAAGGGUGCGUAGGUGGCGCCAUAAGUCAGGGGUGAAAUCUCGGGGCUCAACCCCGAAACUGCACUUGAUACUGUGGUGCUGGAGUACUGGAGAGGAGAUUGGAAUUUACGGUGUAGCAGUGAAAUGCGUAGAUAUCGUAAGGAAGACCAGUGGCGAAGGCGAAUCUCUGGACAGUUACUGACACUGAGGCACGAAGGCCAGGGGAGCAAACGGG